GAAAUAACCUCGGCAACUAACUUAUGUAUCGAAAGAGGAUUACGUCUUCACGUCCAAGGGCAUUUCAAGUUGGGAAUUGUGAGACUUUAGGUAUGUCAGCAUGGUCAGACUAGGGGAUAGAGCUUAUCAUUGAUUUUUUUGAUCCAUGCAAACAAAUUUGUAGAAAUUAAAAAGUGGUCUAUAUAGUAGUACGAGUUAUAUGGGGUGAGAAUAAAAGGUGAAGUCCCUUGUUGAGGAGUAUUGUGCCCUCCAUAUAUCCAGGCAAUUAUAGGAUGCAAAAAAUUGGGAAAACAGGACCUCAUUCUUAGAUGGAUGCUAUCGCCCCUGACUCGAUGUGCUCUUGUCUGGGGAGUGUACUUCAUUGCAAUCUCCUCUUAUAAUAGUGUGUGUGGUAGAUAGAGAGGAAUGAUGAACAAAGAAUGUAGGCCACAACGUUUGGUCAGAGGUCAUUGGUGCAUAUAAGGAGCAAAAUGCAAAACUGACUGUCCUUAUCUUGCCGGUCACAUAGCGUCUCUGGAUGUUUGUGAUUGCCAAUUUGUCGGUUACAGGACAGGAGGAUCGCAGGAUGACUGUUACACCGUUUGAUUUUGUGUCAUAGGAGUUAGCUAAUAAACAC